rnacentral:misc_RNA from 1 species
AAGUCGUAACAAGGUAACCGUAGGUGAACCUGCGGUUGGAUCAUUAUCAAAUUGAUCGGGCCGGGCCUCAAACGGGGCCUGGCUGGAGUUUCUCUCGCGAAAGCGGGUUAGGAACCCAAACUCUCUUGUGAACCGUUUUCUGUCUCUGGCGGUGGGGCUUGCAAAAGUAGCCGUUUUGCGGCUUCUUUUCGGCCUGUCAGCAACAUUGAACAUCCUUUGGGUGUGCACUGAUUUGCCGUGGACAAGCCGCCAACCAUUUUUGAACCAACGCUUUUAACUUUAAUUUGUCUAACCAUAUAUUUUGUAUGAAUGUACAAAAACAACUUUUGGCAACGGAUCUCUUGGCUCUC